rnacentral:rRNA from 1 species
AACUUUCAACAACGGAUCUCUUGGUUCUCGCAUCGAUGAAAAACGCACCGAAAUGCGAUACGUAAUGUGAAUGCAGAAUUCAGUGAAUCAUCGAUCUUGAACGCACAUUGCACUCCUGGUAUUCCGAGGAGUAUGCCUGUUUCAGUAUCAUGAGCACUCUCACAACUAACCUUU